AAAACAAAACUCCAAAGAAAAUAAUAACGUUUAAGUUGUCUAUUUUACCUGGAUUUGUUCGUAUAACUGAAGAUACGAAUCACAAGCGAUGGUGACAUGCUAGAGCUUUGAGUUAUAGCUGUGUUCUAAUGAUGAAGAUGUAUGAAAACGAUCUCCCUUCUGCUGUCUGGAGCUGGGCUUCCUCUCCCUGUAAGAACAAGCGACAUCUUAUCUGGGUUGGGCAUCAUCACGUGAAAAGCAAGGACCUUGCCACCCAUUAUAGAGUGUGGGGCACUCUUGCAUCUAAGAAUGUAUGAUCCUGAGGUUGUUCUGGUGAUGGGCAUUGGCCAUUAC